UACAGAGGGGGCUAGCGUUGUUCGGAUUUACUGGGCGUAAAGCGCACGUAGGCGGAUUGUUAAGUCGGGGGUGAAAUCCUGGAGCUCAACUUCAGAAUUGCCUUCGAUACUGGCUUUCUAGAGGCUGGAAGAGGUUAGUGGAAUUCCCAGUGUAGAGGUGAAAUUCGUAGAUAUUGGGAAGAACACCAGUGGCGAAGGCGGCUAACUGGUCCAGAUCUGACGCUGAGGUGCGAAAGCGUGGGGAGCAAACAGG
rnacentral:rRNA from 1 species